rnacentral:rRNA from 1 species
GGAGGGUGCAAGCGUUGUCCGGAUUUAUUGGGGUUUAAAGGGGUGCGUAGGCGGCCUGUUAAGUCAGUGGUGAAAUCCCAUAGCUCAACUAUGGGAACUGCCAUUGAAACUGCCAGGCUUGAGAACAGUCGAGGUAGGCGGAAUUUAUGGUGUAGCGGUGAAAUGCAUAGAUACCAUAAAGAACACCGAUAGCGAAGGCAGCUUACUAGACUGUAACUGACGCUGAGGCACGAAAGCGUGGGGAGCGAACAGGAUUAGAUACCCUGGUAGUCCACGCUGUAAACGAUGAUCACUCGAUGUAUGCGAUAGACAGUAUGCGUCUUAGCGAAAGCGUUAAGUGAUCCACCUGGGGAGUACGUCGGCAAACGAUG